GACAAGUCUGAGGAACGGAACUGAUGGGAGACAAGUCUGAGGAACAAAUUCUACACCAGGACAAAGGAGAAUGACUUAAAUCUGACUUAAAAUGGUGGUUUUGGACAUGGACGUUGCAGUCGGUGGUAAGUACAAAAGGACUAGCUUGUGUUUCCACACUUCUUGACUCUAAUGAAUAUGCACAAAUAUUCAUAGACACCCACACAAACACACACAGCGUCUGUAAUGAAACCAACAUGUCGCAGGAUAUCCUUUAUUCUCCAUGUAAACACUCCAGCAGGGUCCAUGGGGUCUCUUUAUUUUCCUUAAGUAACCCUAUCCGUCUCGCUCCCCUCUCAUUCUUCCAUCCCUAUCUCCAUUAUUGGCCACUUUAUCCUUUGACCUUUGAACCAUGUUCUUGUUGGGUUCAAUUACAGGUGUGACUGCAGAAUUAUUUCUGUCACAUUUGACAGUUUUUUUCUCUAGCGUCGGUGUAUUUGACAUAUGUAAAAAUAACACUCGACUUCAGUGAGUGUGGUUGGAAUGUAAGGCUGUGGAAUUCAGUGUAUCUACUUUGCUUCACUUCUAUUGUGUUUGUAUUUGUUAAUGGAAACGAUCGCCACAAACCAUACCCUGGUUAGGAACACCUGGAGGAAGCAGCAGUAAUUAAAGAUGUUGUUAUACAGUAUUACAAGAUGGAUCAGCCAUAUAAGGCAACAGCUAACCAUUAAAUAUAGUAAAUAAGUAUAAAUAAUGAUGUCAUUGGCAUAAAACAAAUGACUACUGCUUGGCCACAACUGUAGUAAGCCAUUGUGUAACAGCCUAUCACUACUCAGACAUUUACCUCCAUUACCUCGUGGUGUUUACCUCCACAGUCGACCCAGAAUAACCUGUCACUCAACAGUCACUAUUCAUCCGUUUCCUCCAAUAGCGUGACUUCAGUGUACCGGGGGCAGGGGCAGGCGCUGGAUUAAAACAGGAUAGGAUGAGGAAAACAAGAUGUGACAGGGAAAGAGGGGCGCACAAAAGACAGGAAACACAUAGACAUGAGAGCCAGAGCAGCAGACGGAGAUGGAGGUUGAGAUAGAGCAAGGAGAACUGAGAGGCGGAGAAGUAAAAAAAAAAAAGAAUCAUGUAAGGUGGUAAGUAAGAGAGGGAGAAUGGAGUGUAGUCCUUUAAAAAAAAUAGAAAAGGAAAUAUCAGGGAGGAGAGAGGAAACUGGAAACGAUAGGAUGCACAGAUGGUGGAAUAAAGAACAUAAGAGAAUAAAGAUUGGACCAAAAUUAUCCCACUUGUGCUUUGAAGUCCACUUUUAGAUACAGUGUUGUUUGUUGUCUUUGUGAUAUAGGAAGACUCAGCUCGAGUGCUGCAUGACUGUGCGUGCAGCAGCAGAUGAAGUGAGGAAAAGUUUCUAAUGAUGGGGGUGACAGUAAAUGCGGGGGUUUGUGACAGACACAACUAUGAUGUCACACUUUGUGGUUAGCUUUGCUGUUUUUACAUGAUUGUGCACAGUAAAAAAAUUAAAGAGCUAAUCUCAGACACUUGUUCAAUUCCCAUUUAAUCCCUAUGCCUAACCCCUAUCCUAAUCUGACCUUUCUUUUAAACCUAACCUCAAACUAUACUGUAUCUUGAACCUAAAGAUCUUUUGUGAACACUUAAUAAAAAUAUAAAUAUGUCUAGUCCCAAUCUCAAAUCUAAUCUCACCCUAAUCCUGAUCCUAAAUCUAAAUUAAAUGCUGAACCCCCAUGAGAUUAGUAUUUUCCAGAAGAUGUUCCCACAGGCAUUGCUAUUUCAGGUACACACACAGAAGAAGGUGGCGUGUGGUGACGCAGUGACGUGGGCAAAGCGAAGUUCACGUCCACACCAGAAGAAAGUUGACAAUUUGAACCCAGCAACAACAGUGUUUGUAAGAUGCAGUGAUUGUUUUUGGAUAAAAAGGGAAACCAAGCCCACAGAUAAACAGCCACUGCUCACGAACACUGACGUUCAGGAAUUGACAACAGCGAUAACUUCAAUUUCCUUACUGUGAAAGACAUAAUCUUUAUAAAACAACAAUAAGUUUAUUGUGAAAAGGAACAUGUCUGCUUUACAUAAAUGAAUACUGAUUGAAAUGUUUAGAUUGAAUAGAUGUUUCUGUUUUCUGAUGUUUUGUUCGUGAAAUGUGAUGAUAUUAAAUGUUCUGAUCCAUCUCAUCACUUAAUCGUAAAUAGUAACUUCUCUAACAAACCACAAGUGAAAUCAUAAAUGAUCGUGAUAGUGAAGGAUGGAGGCGAUAAUCCAACACCAGUGACAGCCAUAAUACAGGUAAUUGUAAAAAAAAUAUGCUAAGGCGCUAAGAUGGUAUUUUAAGAUGAGGUUUACCUUGGUGAAAUGAAAACCUUUGACAGAAUAGUUGGUUUGUUUAUAUAAAUAUAAGUAUUAAUUAAACUGUGUAUUUAGAAUCAAAUGUAUGAACUAUGUAGUUCCAGUUAACUCUUAUAGGGUUUGUUUUGUCUUGGCUCUACAGAUGGUUUAAAUGUCUAGAAAAACAGAAAUAAUUCCCUGGGAUGGAACAUGACCCACCUGUGUGUUCACAGUGUCCCUGCUGGCAAGAAAGGGAAACACUGACACAUGCUGUGUGUUAGUGCAGCAGGCAGAGCCAGGCCUUUAUGAGAGGGUGGGGACAGAAGGCUGCUUUA